ACCCUCAACCUACUGGAGAAUGAUAGUCCCGCAGAAACCCACAGAGGCAGCUCUCAAUGCACGCAGAACCGCUCCUACGCAUCUGCACCAUCUGCACCACCGCUGCUUCCGACUACUUGCCAACCUCUGGUGGGCGAAAACUUCCAAAUUCUAAGGGGGGACUACUUUAAAGAUAUGUACUGCCAGUUCUGAACUUGCAGGAAGGGGUAAGAGUGCUUCAUUUGUUUUUAAAAGAGGUGAUCGUGUAGGCGAAUUAACUACCUAACACCUGUUAACUGGAAUCUGUAAAGUUGAAGCUUCGAUUGUAAUGAAGGUGCCCAAGUAAGCGGGUGAAGGAGGCAUGUGAGAGGAUGACAUAGCUGGUUGUUUUUAAUAUUUGUAGAUAAAACUUGUUUUUAGUUAUAAUUGAGUAAGUUUCAGGUUGUAACCUAAUUUAGUUGGUUCUGUGGCAUGCGUAACUGAAAUUGUUAUUCAUGGGUAUAGUAGCUCUUCUGAAUCCUGCAAUCCUACACAAUUGUGAUCAAGUCAUAUUAGUAUUGUAUACUAUAUAAAUGAUUCUCUAUCUAACUGAAUCAAUAUGGUUUCAAGCUGGUCUAAGAAGUCUGGAGGUUGUGUUUUUGCGCUUCAAGAUGAACAACUGCAGGCCACCCAACAGUGCACGCAAAGCACCAGAACCACAAUCUUGAUGGUCGUUCAAUGCAUGGUCCUGUUUAGCUAGCGUUUACCUCUUUCUAUUGUAUUUAGUACCAUAUGCACAAUUGAUCUUGUGUUCCAGGAAAUCUCUGUGUCACAUUUUAGUGAGGUGAUGCAAUCAACUCCACAAGUGCAGUCCUUCCUCGCCAUUGAUAUUUACGCUAAAUCAGUAUAUUCAAUCUUGAAGCAUUGUCCAGUGGAUCAAAGAUCAAGCAAACUCUUUCUCUUACCAAAGGUUGGAUUCUAAAAUUUGGUUCGUUAGAAUCUGUGCAUGAAGGUGUUAAUUUCCAAGUAUAUCUUGGUUGCCACAAUAAUCAGCUCCCCUCCGUUGCGAGCAUU